AGUUGAUGAGAUUGGUACCCUGUAGUCAUCCUAAGAGCUGGGGUGGUGGCGACAAAUUAUUUCCUGAUGUGUUCCUCAACUAAAUCCUUAACAAAAAAAACGCAUACUGUACUACUGUAGCUUCCUUAUUUAUUCUGUUAUGUGUUCUCUUAUAGACACUUGGACGUAUCACUCAGGGAUAACUGAGGCUACCUCACCUGUUGGGCAUUGAGGAAGAAGACCUCAUCCUUGUCUGAUUGGAGAGAACAUGGGCCAACUGGUCCAUUUUAUAUCUUCAGAGCACACUCAGAAAGAGAGAGGGAGUCACAUGACUCACAAAAACACUUCUAGCUUUUUGAGGACUUGGAGACAGAUUGAAAUUUACUGAUGACCAAACCACACUGGAAAGUAUACUGAGUGCAGAGCUCACUAACAACAAAGACAACAAGCUAUCUCUGCACCUCAGCAAAACAGAAGCAAUUCUGUUCGGGUCCAAAAUGAAACUAAGCAAGUCCUCAUACAUCAGGGUACAGCUAGCAGGAGAGGUAC
ensembl:lncRNA